rnacentral:ncRNA from 1 species
CACCGUCGUGCUAGACCCAGUGCCCCCUGUUUCAGGGGUCAGGGCAGGGUCCACUGGCCUCGUGGACUGCUGGUGAAAUACCACUACUCUCUUUGUUUUUUCACUGAUCCGGUAAGGGGGGGAGGUGAGCCCAAAGAGGCUCUUGCUUCUGGCGCCAAGCGCCGGUCUACAAGCGCACGCAGACGCGAACUGCUCUGAGGAUGCCAGGUGGAGAGUUUGACUGGGAUGGUGCACCUAUGAAACAGUAAUGCAGGUGUCCUAAGGAGGUUUCCCCGUGGAGCGGGAAGGGCAAAAGCUUGCUUGAGCUGGAUUUUUAGUACGAAUACAAACCAUGAAAGCAGGGCCUCACGAUCUUUCUGACCUUUGGGUUUUAAGCAUGAGGUAUCAGAAAAGUUACCACAGGGAUAACUGACUUGUGGCAGUCAGAGACACUAAGCCACCAAGGAAAUGGGAUGUAUAUUUCUGGAACCUGCCUUGGGAACUCCAGGUAGAGAGCUUGACAGAUUGAUAUAUUUUGGGCUAAAGUCCAAAUGUUUUGAUAAGUUGCUUAUUGAUAUUAGGAUUAAUAAAAGGUGUUUAGUU